UCCUACUCAGUAAAUUCUCCACAUGUGCUUCUCCCCAGGGGCGUUUAAAAAUCAGAGCUGAGGGGCACAUUUUUCUCUUCAUAAAUUACCACAGAAUCAGCUUGUGACAGACCAGGAGCCCGAAGGACUCUUGGCCAAUCAGGGUGGUGCUGUGCAGCAGCGUUCGCUGUAAUCUCCAUCACACCUCAUAAUGACACAAUGGUAGACUUCCAGAACUGCUUGGGACAGGUGCUGUGGAUCUGGUAACCCCUUGACCCCUUGACUGGACACACUGAGGAAAGAGACCGGGUUGGCAAAAAACAGAGCUGGUUCCACCCUCUGGCUUUGGCUCCUUCCAGAAUCUUCUUUUAAAAAAUGAACAGUAGAUCGUAGUGCAGCAGAUUAUGAGUCUCAUUUGCCAUCUUUUGCAGAGGAUGAUUGUAGACUAUUCUGAGAGAGAGAGACAGGCAGACACACAGACAGACAUACAGACAGGCAACUAUUUUAUCUGCAAAGCCAGUUCAAUCUGGGCUGCAGCCUUCAUAGCCACAAAGUACUAGUUAGAUUAUUAGUAAGCAGUUAGAAGGAUGUAAAACUUGACUCCAGUGCAAGACUUACUAUCACUUUAAUAUAGUUUUAAUUCCCUCUCAGAAAGCUGAAGAAAAUCCAUGACCUCAAUCUCUGAACCUGGGUGUUCCCAAGGAGACCACCAGAUUAGAUCAACAGCAGUCACAGUUUCUAUCAGUGGUAGAGCAUUAGACAUGUCCAUGUCUCUCCACACAAAAUCCAGUAACAUAUCUAGAUGUAAAUAAGGAAGGAAUUAAACCCCAACCAAAAAUAAAAAUAGCCGACAAU